rnacentral:tRNA from 1 species
GUUCUGGUAGCCUAAGAGGGAGGGCGUGGCGUUGAAGGUGCUAAGGUAGUAGUUGAACUUCAGAAUA